rnacentral:rRNA from 1 species
AAAAUUAAAUAAAUUUUUAAAAAUUAAUAAUUAAUUUUUAUUUAAAUUAAAUAAAUUUAAAAUAAGUAAUAUUAAUAAAUUAUUAAUUAAGAUUGUGCCAGCAAUUGCGGUUAAACAAUUAAUAAAAAAUAAAUAUUUUUAAAUUAAAUUUUAAUAAUUAUAAUAAUUAAAUUUAAAAAUUUAAUUUUAUUUGGUAAAAUAAUAAAAUUUAUAAUAAAAAUUUAUUUAAUUAAAAUAAAAUUUAAAAAUUUAAUUUUAAAACUAGGAUUAGAUACCCUAUUAUAUAAAUAAAAAUUUUAAUUAAUUUAAUUAGUAAAAAAAAAAUGAAAAUUAAAGAAUUUGACGGUAUUUAAAUCAUUUUAGAGGAAUUUGUAUAAUAAUUGAUAAUCCACAAUUUAUUAAACUUAUUUUGAAAAAUUUGUAUAUCGUUGUUAUAAAAAUAUUUUUUAUAAAUUCAUAAAUAUUUAAAUAUUUAAAUUUAUAUAUAUAUCAAAUCAAGAUACAAUUUAAAUAAAUAAGAAAUUUAUGAAUUACAUUAAUUUUAAAAAUUAUAAUUUAUAUUUGAAAAAAAGAAAUUUAAAUUGGAUUUAAUUGUAAUUUAAAAUAUUUAUUUUAAAUGAUUAUUGUUUUUAAAUAUGUACAUAUUGCCCGUCACUCUUAUUAGUUAUAUUAAUUUAUUAAUUAAGAUAAGUCGUAACAAAGUAGAAAUAUUGGAAAAUGUUUCUA